rnacentral:lncRNA from 1 species
GCCGAGCAAAGAUGGAGAGGAGGUCCCAGCCCCCGGGGCGCGGUGUUGCGCACGCGGGGGAGCUGGGCCGGGGAUAUGCGCACGUGUGCGCACGCGGCGGACAGGGACUAGGGGUGCACGUGCGUAUAUAAGCACCUGGGGAGGGGGACAGAAGCUGAGGAGGUGUGCACCUGUGCAUGUACACGGGUGUGUGCGCAUCCGGGGAAUGGGGGGUAGGAGUGUGUAUACACGUGUGGGCACAUGAGGAACAGGGGCAAAGUGUGCAGGUUUCCACCCGGCCGCGGACGGUUUCCCAAUUUAACCGCUUUUAUGCUGAUCACGCCCACUCUGCUUCUCCAGUAAAGCCCCUCCCGGCCUAAGACUGUUCACACCUUAGCGCUGGUUUCUUGAAGGGAGCAGAGAUCUUCGCGUUCUUUCUCUUCAGUACGCGGCACUCAGAGAAACCGGGAUCCAGGAGGAAGAGGCACAUGGAAGUUCCUGGGCAAGGCGUCGAAUCUGAGCUGCAGCUGCUGGCCUACACCACAGGCAACGCCGGAUCCUUAACCCAGUUAGCAAGGAGAGGAAUCGAACCCAUAUCCAGCCAUUUUCUGUUUUCCACCGCAGCGAUGAUGACAAGAGGAUGCAGAAAUUGCCAGGCAGGGGAUUGAACCCACACCACAGCCGCAACCCGAGCCACUGCGGUGACAACACAAAUCCUUAAGCUGCUGAGCCACAGGACUCCAGGAUCAGUCAAUCUUAAGGACUCACAUGACUACUUACAGGCUGAAGCCACAGUCCUUUGAGAAGCUCCCCUUGGACCCGACAGCUUCUAGAAGAUCACGGCACCCAGUCUCCCCAGAUGUCUCCUUCCAGCCUCGUUUGCUACUUGAGCGCCCGUCUCUGCUCUUCCUCCGAAACGCCCACCUUGGCCAGGAGAGUAAUUCCUUUCAUCCCCUGACCACCAACCCUGCCGUCCAGCGCGGUGUCCUUCUGGGUGAUUUCAUGUUGCUGAGAUGACAUCGGGCUGUUUUUUAUGGAACCCCACAACGGAAGGUCCGAGGUCCUUCUCCUCGUGUCAUUUCCCUCCUCAGUAGAACCCAUGACCAUCGGCCAGGAGGGAAAGUGCCAGGAGCCAACAGCACGAUUUUGGGAAACUUGAUUUUAUGUUCAACCGAAUGCCUCUGCUCACGUCCCUACUGCUGUCCCCUUACCUCGCCGAGUCAGAGAAGGGCCCUGCAGCUUACCCGCUGCAAUGAGGCUGGGGUGACCUCGGGAGGUCAAUGAGCUCGGAUGAGUGAUCUCAGCUCCUCUCUGGCUCAGAUUUCUUUAGCUGAGAAAUAAGAAAAUAAAAAAUAAAGUUCUUUAUAAG